rnacentral:rRNA from 1 species
UGGGGAAUAUUGCACAAUGGGCGCAAGCCUGAUGCAGCCAUGCCGCGUGUGUGAAGAAGGCCUUCGGGUUGUAAAGCACUUUCAGCGAGGAGGAAGGUGGUGAACUUAAUACGUUCAUCAAUUGACGUUACUCGCAGAAGAAGCACCGGCUAACUCCGUGCCAGCAGCCGCGGUAAUACGGAGGGUGCAAGCGUUAAUCGGAAUUACUGGGCGUAAAGCGCACGCAGGCGGUUUGUUAAGUCAGAUGUGAAAUCCCCGGGCUCAACCUGGGAACUGCAUUUGAAACUGGCAAGCUAGAGUCUCGUAGAGGGGGGUAGAAUUCCAGGUGUAGCGGUGAAAUGCGUAGAGACCUGGAGGAAUACCGGUGGCGAAGGCGGCCCCCCGGACGAAGACUGACGCUCAGGCUGCGAAAGCGUGGGGCAGCAAACAGGAUUAGAUACCCUGGUAGUCCACGCUGUAAACGAUGUCGAUUUUGGAGGUUGUGCCCUUGAGGCGUGGCUUCCGGAGCUAACGCGUUAAAUCGACCGCCUGGGGAGUACGGCCGCAAGGUUAAAACUUAAAGG